AAUUCUCAACCUCCAUGGAGUUUGUAAUGGACUUCUUGAAGUGUUGGAUUUGGAGGUCUGCUGGCGUCUGACGUCGGCUCCUCUUGAAUGCAUUAGUGGGAGCUUUGUGCUCGACCCAGUAGCGGUGUAAUAAUUAUUACCACUGUGAAACCGUUGAGUCUUUUCCUGCUUCCAACCGUCCUCUCGGAAGGACAAGCAUAUAUUCAUU
rnacentral:misc_RNA from 1 species